GGGGACGAUAUGGAUUCGACGCCGGUCACAAAACCAAAUGUGCAUGCCGAGUAGUUCUGCAGUGCUCGUUAACCCAACUGUAGACUCGUUAGCCAUAACUGCCAACGACGACAACUACGCUCUAGCUGCUUAAUGCUAGACCUUGGGUCGGAAUCGUCUCUGGUUCUGACUAACAAGGUUCGCAACAGAGACUCGUCUUGAGACUGCGUUCAGGGUCAACGGACUAAAUUUUCACUGAACUCGGAAUGGGGAUCCCUGUGCGUUGGGAGAUCCGGACUUAAAUCCAAAAACGCGACUAAGCAUGUAGAGCGUUUGGCGGAGGGCUGACGGACGCGGGUUCAAAUCCCGCCGUCUCCACCA
rnacentral:tmRNA from 1 species